rnacentral:rRNA from 1 species
GAUGAACGCUGGCGGCGUGCCUAAUACAUGCAAGUCGAGCGGUAAGGCUCCUUCGGGAGUACACGAGCGGCGGACGGGUGAGUAAUACGUAGGAACGUACCCCAAAGUGAGGAAUAACCAGCCGAAAGGUUGGCUAAUACCGCAUAUGCUAUACGGAGUAAAGCAGCAAUGCGCUUUGGGAACGGCCUGCGUCCGAGUAGCUAGUUGGUAAGGUAAAGGCUUACCAAGGCGACGAUCGGUAGCUGUUCUGAGAGGAUGAUCAGCCACACUGGAACUGAGACACGGUCCAGACUCCUACGGGAGGCAGCAGUAGGGAAUUUUCCACAAUGGGCGAAAGCCUGAUGGAGCAACGCCGCGUGCAGGAUGAAGGCCUUAGGGUUGUAAACUGCUUUUAUCUGUGACGAUUAUGACAGUAGCAGAUGAAUAAGGAUCGGCUAACUCCGUGCCAGCCGCCGCCGUAA